rnacentral:rRNA from 1 species
AUAUCAAUAAGCGGAGGAAAAGAAACCAACAGGGAUUGCCUCAGUAACGGCGAGUGAAGCGGCAACAGCUCAGAUUUGAAAUCCGUAUUCCGGAGUUGUAAUCUGCAGAGGAACGUUUGGUUAGGAGCCGGGUCAAAUCACCUGGAAUGGUAUGCCUUAGAGGGUGAGAGCCCCGUACCGUCCGGCUUCCGUCGCCAUGUAAACGUCCUUCGACGAGUCGAGUUGUUUGGGAAUGCAGCUCUAAUCGGGUGGUAAAUUUCAUCUAAAGCUAAAUAUUGGCCAGAGACCGAUAGCGCACAAGUAGAGUGAUCGAAAGAUGAAAAGCACUUUGAAAAGAGAGUUAAACAGUAUGUGAAAUUGUUGAAAGGGAAGCGCUUGCAACCAGACUUGAGCGCGGCGGUUCCCCCGGUCUUUUGGCCGGGCUACUCCGUCGUGUCCAGGCCAACAUCGGUUCUGAGGGUCGGUCAAAGGCCUUGGGAAUGUAUCUACCUACGGGUAGACUUAUAGACCAGGGUGUCAUGCGGCCUCUCGGGACCGAGGAACGCGCUUCGGCUCGGAUGUUGGCGUAAUGGUUGUCAGCGA